UACGAAGGACCCGAGCGUUAUCCGGAUUUAUUGGGUUUAAAGGGUGCGUAGGCGGGUUGAUAAGUCAGUGGUGAAAGCCCGUCGCUUAACGGCGGAACUGCCAUUGAUACUGUCAGUCUUGAGUAUGGUUGAGGUGGGCGGAAUGUGUCAUGUAGCGGUGAAAUGCUUAGAUAUGACACAGAACACCAAUUGCGAAGGCAGCUCGCUAAACCAUAACUGACGCUGAUGCACGAAAGCGUGGGGAGCAAACAGG
rnacentral:rRNA from 1 species